CAAAGGUUUGGUCCUAGCCUUCCUAUUAAUUUUUACUACGCUUACACAUGCAAGUAUCUGCACUCCCGUGAAAAUGCCCUUUGCUGCCAAAAAGUAGAAACGGGGCGGAUAUCAGGCACUCAUAUCGCCAAAGACAUCUUGUUCAACCACACCCUCAAGGGAACUCAGCAGUGAUAAACAUUGAAUAAUAAGCGACACAAGCUUGAAUCAGCGAUAGUUCACAGAGUCGGUAAAUCUCGUGCCAGCCACCGCGGUUAUACGAGAGACUCAAAUUAAUUUAAUCGGCCCAAAGAGUGGUUAGACGUGUAAAUAAAAUAUGACUAAAAACGGACUCUGCUGUCGCACGCAAAAGUCUUAAAAAACACAACAUCGAAAGUAGCCCUAUAAAAGCAAUCUUGAACCCACGACAGCUAGGACACAAACUGGGAUUAGAUACCCCACUAUGCCUAGCCAUAAACUUUGAUUAAUCCGCCCGAGUACUACGAGCAACAGCUAAA
rnacentral:rRNA from 1 species